rnacentral:rRNA from 1 species
CAUCACGAGGUAGCAAUACUUUGGUGGCGACCGGCGCACGGGUGCGUAACGCGUAUGUAACCUACCUAUAACAGGGGCAUAACACUGAGAAAUUGGUACUAAUUCCCCAUAAUAUUCGGAGAGGCAUCUCUCCGGGUUGAAAACUCCGGUGGUUAUAGAUGGACAUGCGUUGCAUUAGCUAGUUGGUGAGGUAACGGCUCACCAAGGCAACGAUACAUAGGGGGACUGAGAGGUUAACCCCCCCACACUGGUACUGAGACACGGACCAGACUCCUACGGGAGGCAGCAGUGAGGAAUAUUGGUCAAUGGACGCAAGUCUGAACCAGCCAUGCCGCGUGCAGGAAGACGGCUCUAUGAGUUGUAAACUGCUUUUGUACGAGGGUAAACUCACCUACGUGUAGGUGACUGAAAGUAUCGUACGAAUAAGGAUCGGCUAACUCCGUGCCAGCAGCCGCGGUAAUACGGAGGAUUCAAGCGUUAUCCGGAUUUAUUGGGUUUAAAGGGUGCGUAGGCGGUUUGAUAAGUUAGAGGUGAAAUCCCGGGGCUUAACUCCGGAACUGCCUCUAAUACUGUUAGACUAGAGAGUAGUUGCGGUAGGCGGAAUGUAUGGUGUAGCGGUGAAAUGCUUAGAGAUC